CGCGCGUUUGGCGCGGGGUCCUGUUCCACGCCCGGCAGGGCUUAGGUCUGGCCGGAAGUGAUCUCGGCGCGUCUGGACUCCGGUGUGCCCGGGCGGCCCUCGCCGGCCAGAGUCAGACCCCGGCCCGGCGUAGGGGUCUUCCUCGUCGGGCCUGGCCCCGGGACUCAGCGCGCAGCCUCACAGUCUGGGCCUCGACCGGCCUGCGGAAUGGCCGACUUUUCCUUGGGUGCCUCCACAUCCAAAGUUCCUUUUUUUAAAGGUGAUACAUGAUAGAAAGCGCAACCACAACAGAAUAGGCAUGCGGUCAAAUCUCUCCUAUUCUUGACCCACAUUUAAAAAAUCUCCUCCUGGAAGCCGCCAAGGUUGCCGUCUCCUGACUUGGGUCAGUCGUCCGUGCAGGCCCCCGCUUCCUUAGGGGUCGUGGUGGCAGGGGCUGCGCGCAUGUCGCUCAAGCAGCCAGAGCCGGAGCCCCCGCCCCGCUCCCCUUGCUGUGGGGCUGCCGGCCGCCGAGGCGGGCGCGCCCCUUCCAGGCUCGGAACUGCCCCUCCCGCGGGAGGCCCCGGAGCUGUUCAGAGGUCCCCGCAUCGCACAGUGGUCGUAAGUUUGUUGUCAAGACGGGGACACUUUUGAGAGUGAGUGCGUGCUAAACAGAUGGGACGCAGGGACAACGGGUAGGGCCAGGCCUGCGCGGCCGGAGCGAGCCGUCAGGGAGAGCCCCUGGGGGACGCCGCGCCUCAGCCGGCUCCGGCCGCUGAGAGCCGCCUGUUCCUGCAGUGAGCGCGGCGCUCCCCUGUUCCGGAUGUUUGGUCUGGAGCGAUGCUACACCGAGCGCACGUGUCCGUGUGUCUGCAGGAAUCACGCUUGGAACAGGAAUUGCUACGGUAGAGGAUAUGUUCCCCACUCUCCUUUGUUCUUUAAAUUUUGGAUACAUGUGGCUAAAUUGCUCCUUAGACACUACUAAUUGACACCCCACAGCAAUGUGUAGGAGUGUGGGUCUCCCCACGUUUUCACCGGUGGAGUCUUUCCAACCCUUUGGAUCUUUACCAAUCCAGUUGUUGCAAAAUUCUCUCUCAAGUACAGUUACAAUUUACGUUUUACAUUUAUUCUAAUAUUUUGAAAUCUUUGUUCAUGGAACUGUGAUGGCCCUGCCUCUGCGUACUUCAUUCAGAACGUCCGUUUCAACAUAUUUCACUCUUAGAGCUUCGAGAAUUUGUCGGUUCUACUGGUGUGGGCUUUUGCAUGUGCUGUUCUCUGCUUGGAAAGCUCUUUCCUUAGUAAACUACCAUAGUCUGAAUGUGCCCCCACUUCCCUCAGUUCAUUUCUUUAAAUCCUAAUGCUCAAGGUGUCAGGAGAUGGGGCCCUGGGAGAUGAAUAGGAUUAGUGCCUUAUAAAAGAGGCCCCAGAGAGAACCCUCGCUUCUUCCGCGUGUGAGGCUACGGUGAGAAGCCAGCGCUCUGAGGAAGCCAGCCCUUGCCAGACGUGGAGUCUGCAGACGUCUUGAUCUUGAACUUCCCAGCCUCCACAACUGUGAGAAAUAAGUGUUUGUUUUUUAUAAGCCACCUAGUUUAUGGUAUUUUUGUUAUAGCAGCCCAAACAGACUGAGACAUAGAUUCUUUCUCAUCCUUUAAGACUCAGCUCAAAGGUUACCACUUCAAACAAUUUUAUCUACAGUGGUCUAGAUAUUUUUUCACCCUUUCUGUUGUUCACUUCGCUUAUGGCACUUAUCACACCCAUCAUUAUCUAUUGAUUUGUAUGUUGGUAUAUUCUUUAUUCCACUACUGAAAGGCAAGCUCCGUGAAAGCAGGGAAGCAGUUUGUUCUGAAGAUUGUUAGCCGUCCAGCACCUAGCGCUCUGUCUGGCACGUGGUAGGUGCCCGUAGCAGACACUGUUGUGCCGGUAUCCCCUCAUCCCACGUCAGACUUCAGCUCUCCCGUGGUGGUGGAAAGUUCCCACAAGUGGAGUGCUGCCACCUUGAGCAGCUCUUUGCUGUCCCCUUUUGGGCUCACCUUAGAGCUUUCUCUGGAAGCCGGGGAGCAGGCCUAGCUGGGAAGUUCAGGGCAGUUAACCCUUAAUGAACUAAGGAGGAAUACCUCAGCCUUCCAUGCUUCACAGGAGCAGGACUGAGCUUCAGUUGCCCACAGUGGUAACCGGCUCUGUCAUACCAGCCCCUUGGGUUGGCUUUCUCUGCUUCCUCAGCCCCGUCUCCCAAAUAAACUACUUGCAUCUAAGCCCCUGUCUCAAGACUGCCUUUGGGGAAGCCCGAACUAAGACAAUAUUCAAUAAAUAUUUGGUGAAGAAGUGGGUGGAUUAAUUACAGCGCUUCUGCAGUUUUCACUAGUCAGCCAGAGGCAGCAGCUCAGGCCUGCAGGUGGAGGAUGAUGGAAGCCGAUGGGCACCUACCCUGGAAUACAGGAGGUGGAACAGGUGUCUGAGAUAUGGGCUGUAGCAGGACAGAUACACAAGUGCUCUGACAGCAGGCAGGAGUGCUUGGCCUUGCUUUUGGGGGAUGAGAAGGUUUUAGAAGAGGCAGAUGAGUUACUUAGUUGCCUCAGUUUACCCAAUUGUGACUAAGGACAGAGUGGAGGAAGCCCACUAUUUUGUGCAGGUGUCUGCUCAGAUUUGCCUGUCUACGCGACACCAGUCUAGGAGGACAGCUGCAGAUCUGUAUGUUACAUGAAGCAGUAUAACAUGGACUCCACAGUGCCCUGGCAGCAGAUGGUGCCUGCGCCCUCCCUGACCACAUCUGUGCCACUGCAAGCACCCGUGAUUCUCCCCAUGGUGGAUUUCUUUUGGCCCGAGCAUGCCCCAAACUGGAUGUGCCAGGGACGUAAUGCUCCUGGGAGCAGCCCUCAGCCAGUGACAGAUGUGAAGACCCUACAUCCCUUGCCCCUCUCUCCCUUGGCCCUCAAAUGGGACAACUCUUGGCAUGUUCUGCAGUGGAAUAGAGCCCCAGUUGCCCAGAGCGGUAACCCAUAUUGGCUUUCUUCCUUUCCCUGUCUCACUUCCCCACUCUACUGGUGUUUCCUGGAGUCAUCUCCCAAAUAAACUACUUGCACUGAAAUCCUUUCUCAGGGUUUCUUUUGGGGGAAAAUUUGACCUAAGACAUCCCUUGUUCAUAGGUCAUUUUGAUAAUAAUACUAAAUAAAAUAACUUAGUCACCUCCCUCAUCUCAUUUCUUCCUCUGAUUCUCUGAAGUCUUUCACCACAAAUAAUUGUCUCCUAGUUCAAAUUCUUCCUCGUUAGCUCCCCAGAAAAGCCAGACUCUCUGCGCUCAUGGCUAGUCUUCCAUUUUCCACAAUCUAGUUUACACAUGAAAGAUGUGAGGAAAGUCUUACCCUUGCCUGAGGGAGGUUGGCUUUCAUUAUUCCUGCCUGCUUUGUUGGCAGUUCCAAGAUCUCUUUUGGCUUCCUGAUGGAUGGUCAGCAGAGGCCACCUGCACCAUAGUGUCAAUCGAGUUGUGGUUUCAAGGAGAUUCAAAACCUUUGUCACUGCUGCUGUCUUCCCAGAAGCUCCUUAAAUCCUCUUGAUUUCAUCACAUUAGUUGCAGUACACUCUGCCCGUGCAUGUGAAGCUGCAGAGGGCCGGAGAGGAUGGUUUCCUUUGCCUUCAAAACCACAAGCAAGAAUGCCACAGGAUCCAAGGAGCAAAAAUGAUUUGGAAGACGACAAGGUUGAGCCAGGGACAGCCAGUGUUACUGAUGACACAUGGGCAAGGUUUCCUGGCCAGUCUCUUUUGGGGACUGUGAUUUCCCAAGCAAAUGUCACUUGGUGACAAGGACUCCCACCAUUGGCCACCAGAGUGCCCCCUAAACUAUUUGAAAAAUCUAAGCCUUAAAUUAAAAUCAGAUUCAUGCAACUUAAUUGUAUUCCAGCAGUUUGAUUUAAGUGCCAGUUCUGUGUUCGAAAUAGAAGAGCGUCCUCAGGUUUUCAGUAAUGUAGAUUGGAAGGGCUGGUGCUUACUAGGAGGCCCAGCUCCUGAAGGCCUGAAGGCUUCCAAUGAGCAGACCCUAGGCCACACCCACUUAACACCACCAUCCUUCCUUUGAGGCUGCCUGAGAUAUCAGGAUAUUCCCCUUGGCUCAUGCCGCUGCACUUACACUGUUGAACACGACGGUGGAAUUGCCAUCCCCAUGCCACCCCCCGAAGAGAGAACCCC
ensembl:lncRNA